GAGUGGGGAGAAGAAGAGAAGGGCUAGUCCUAAAGCAUACAAAGAUAAGAAAGAAAAGAUAAACCCUUGGAGUUCCUUUUCUUGAAAUCAUAGAGAUGAUUCAAGAUUCUCUUUUCCUUUGGACUUAGCACACAAUCAAGCAAUCAAACAAUUUGGAUUCAAGCUCCUAGGAUCUCCAUUUGACUUGUCUCUCUAAACUUGGCUACUCAUGACAAUGGUCAUCUUUUCACUAUCUCAAGAUGGAAU
rnacentral:lncRNA from 1 species